rnacentral:rRNA from 2 species
CUGUGGUAAUUCUAGAGCUAAUACAUGCCACGAAGCGCCGACCUUACGGAAGGCGUGCUUUUAUUAGGAUCAAGACCAACACGGGCUUGCCCGGAUUCGUUGGUGAACUCUGGAUAACUUCGCAGAUCGCAUUGUCAUCGAACAGGCGACAUUUCUUUCAAACGUCUGACCUAUCAAUUUUCGAUGGUACGAUAUGCGCCUACCAUGGUGCUAACGGGUGACGGGGAAUCAGGGUUCGAUUCCGGAGAGGGAGCCUGAGAAAUGGCUACCACAUCCAAGGAAGGCAGCAGGCGCGCAAAUUACCCACUCUCGACACGAGGAGGUAGUGACGAAAAAUAACAAUACAGGACUCUUUCGAGGCCCUGUAAUUGGAAUGAGUACACUUUAAAUCCUUUAACGAGGAUCUACUGGAGGGCAAGUCUGGUGCCAGCAGCCGCGGUAAUUCCAGCUCCAGUGGCGUAUAUUAAUACUGCUGCAGUUAAAAAGCUCGUAGUUGGAUCUAGGGCGUAGGCAGAGGGUCUCUCGCAAGGGAUGCACCUCUCUGACCUGGCCUCCCUCGCGGUUUGCGCUCGGUUCUCUUAAUUGAGUGCCGAGUGCUACCGGAACGUUUACUUUGAAAAAAUUGGAGUGUUCAAAGCAGGCGUAACAGCCUGAACAGCAGAGCAUGGAAUAAUGGAAUAGGACCUCGGUUCUAUUGCGUUGGUUUUAAGAGUUACGAGGUAAUGAUUAAGAGGGACUGACGGGGGCAUUCGUAUUGCGGUGUGAGAGGUGAAAUUCUAGGAUCGCCGCAAGACGACCGACAGCGAAAGCAUUUGCCAAGAAUGUCUUCAUUAAUCAAGAACGAAAGUUAGAGGUUCGAAGGCGAUCAGAUACCGCCCUAGUUCUAACCAUAAACUAUGCCGACCGGCGAUUCGCCGGCGUUACUCCAAUGACACGGCAGGCA